GAGGCGGCGAGGGCGUCCCAGGGCGCGCAGGUCGCCUCCACCUUCAGUCCUGCCUGCGGGCCCCCGGGGCCGGGCGCGCGGCCUCCAGGGCCCGGGCUGCUGGGAGCGGACGCGCGGGGGAGGCGGGCGCGUGCCGGUGCGCGUGCCCGGGCCGUGCUCACAAAGGAGGCCCUUCCCCUGGCGUCCCGCAGCCUGCUCGGGGAGCGCGCGUGUCCGCGGCCCCGGGCCCGGGAGGAGAGGGUCCGCCCGCGACCCCCACAGGGCUCCCCGCUCCCCGGCCGCUGGAGCUGCCCUUUAUUUCUUUAUUCUGGUGGGGGAAGGCGGGGUCAUCUCUCUUGGAGACGACUAUCUUUCCAGGAAGUUUGUGCCUAUUAAUAUUUCAGUUCCUGGCAGCUGCUUUAAGUGCUGGGGGGGCGGGGGGACGGGGGGCAAGUUCAAGGCUGCCGGAGAGGGAGCUGCUGCGCACUGCCGGCUGUCGUCGGCCGGCCUGGGGCGGCGGGCCCAGGGGCAGCCCGGGCGCCUCCCGGACACGUCCCCUCCAUGGGGGACAGGAGCUGCCAUGACCCCCCUGGGGGACGCGGACGAGGCGGGCGGGUGCCCUCGGAGAGAGGCGGCCCCCGAGGCUGCGAGGAGAUUGAGAGCGAGGGCGCAGCUCGCGCUUCUUGUAGCGGUGCCGGCGGAGGAGCAGAGAGGGCCACUCGGCCGCCGGAGGUCGGCGGUGGGUGGGUGCGGGUGGGGGGCGCAUCCCGGUAGGAAGGCGCGUCCCCGCGAGCUCGGGCCCGCCUACCGCACUCGCGGGGGUCAGGCGAGGAGGAGGCCCGGAGCCGGGACGAGGUCGGGACGCUCACUCCGACCUUGGUGCGGCUACACAACGGGAGGGCGCUGCAGCAGCAACUUGACCUUUUAAAGCUCGUAUACUCGUCCCAACCCCUUACAAGGUGAUCGUUAUCUCCAGUCUCCGGGAGCGGAAAACGGAGCUCGGAGAAGUUAACGUGCUCCAGGUCACAGUGCUGCUGCCCGACGGCGAGGUCCCCCAUUUUGGACAUACAUCGUGCAAGAAAGGGUACCUUGGAGGCGAACGCGACAGUCUUCUUCCUACAGUAUCGGCCAACAGAGUCGUCCCCUAAGGGAACCACAGGAGGAGUGGGCCUCUGGAGCGGCAGCGGCUCGAAGCUUGCCAGGUUUUUCCUAAUCCCCGGCGUUCACCCGAGAAGUGCCUGCUCAGGCCUUCCAGCCAAUCACACAUCUGGAACACCAGUCAUUUUGCCAAAGAGCAUUUAUUUUUAACACCCCUCAGGUGCAUAUGUAGAUAAAGAGAUUUGAAGUGGUUGACAACAGCUCACUCUGGAGUGUGGGCUCCUGACAAGGGUACUUCAGUUCGAACUAACUGUCCCCAGGGUAGAAAUGGACGUCAGCACUCUCUCCUCCCGUUUCCCAGAGUCGGUGGUAGAUGCUAUGGCAAGCUUCCUGCUCAGGAUUAUCAGCCCCACGCUGCUCGGGCACUCUGUCCAGCUCUGCAGGAAGGUCACUGACUCCAGGGACAAGACUUGCAAACACUCGGGCAAAGGGAAAGUUUGCCUCAUGAAUCUUCUCACUCUGGUCUCCCGGUCCCCUCUCCCUUCCUCCCCAGCCACGAGUGUUUCUCCGGGGUGGCCAGUGGACCAGAGGGGAGGAUGCGCCAGAUUUCGGGCAUUUUCAGGGAAAGAUUCGCCCUGAGCUAACAUCUGUUGCCAAUCUUCCUCUUUUUUUCCCCCUCCCCAGAGCCCCGGUGCAUGGUUGUCUAUCCUAGUGGUCGGUCCUUCUAGUUCUUCUGUGUGAGCCACCACCACAGCAUGGCGACUGACAGACGGGUGGUGUGGUUCGGCACCCGGGAACCGAACCCGGGCUGCUGAAGCUUUGACGGCACCGAACUUUAAGCCCUAGGCCAUCAGGGGUGGCUCUCGUAAUUUUUUUCAUUGACAAAUGGACAUUUUAGAUGAUAUAUUUUAGCAGCUCUGGAUUCCAUCCCUCCCUCUGCCAUCAUUAUUGCUGGAUUUGGUUUAUUGUUGGCUCGCUCAGAUAAGUGUCAUUUUCUGGAGUCUGUCUCCCCACAGCUGCUGCUCUCUCUGCUUGGUUUUUUCUUCUUGUUUUGGCUGCUUUGGUGGGGUGAUAGUUAGGCCUUCCAGGUGUGAAAGGGCAUUUUUUUGGGGGGGGGGGCAGUGUAUCUCUAAGGGGGAGGUGAGGGCCCUGGAAGAAGCCUAACAAAUUCUCCCGACUGACAGCUGGCUGCAGGACGUGUGAGGACUCCUAGCCCCUUCCAGAGCAGGCUUUCAGGAUGGGUGAGGCCAGGAAAGGAGGGCUCACCGGCCAAGGGCAGAGCCAGGACAGCAAGGGGCCUCCUCACUUGGGUGGGCUGAGGGAGCUCUUUCCCUCCUGGUAGAUUAUCUGUCCCUGUCCCAGACAGGAGUGCUCAGUGGCCCUCCACGUUCAGUCAGUCAAUUACCAAUGACAGGGGCAGCAGGCCCUGGAACAGCACCGGACAACAGUGGGGAGACUGAUGAGAAAGUGCAGAGGGCUGCAGCAGCCCCAGGCGGGUGAAGGGAGAGAGGAGAGACCAAGGGGCUUCAGGGAGGAGGGUCUGGGCUAUCCCCACAGCCCCCAGAGCCUCAGGCUGUCUUUCUGCUGUAGCCAGAGAAAGUUGCAGUGGGACCUCUACAGCCUGAUGGCCAAGACUCACAGCGGAGGUCUCUGGGCAAGGCACUCUUUGUCCCACUUUAUAGAUAAGGAAACUGAGUCUCAGAGAGGUUGAGUGACUUGUUCCAGGUCACGCAGCUGGUAAGUGGUGAAGUCAGAAUUCACCCCAGUAUUAGGAUAUAAGAAGCACUCUCCAUGAAUCCUAUAAAAAAGUCUUUAUGUCCCCACCCCCACCUCUACUGGAGAGCCUGAUUCAAAAUAAGUGUCAGGAACUGCGGGUAGCACAAAUAAAUAAAGAAUAAAUAGAAAACGAUGAA